UGUAAGCGUAUACCAAAGUUGUUGCAGUUAAAACGCUCGUAGUCGGAAUUUGGCAGUUCCGGAUGUGUGCACGUCGUGUGCGCACUUCGCGGGGAUUGCUUUUGUGGUCUUGCGUAGGAUGAGGCACUUUUAUUAGUGAACGUCCUCACGCAACCACUUUUUACUGUGAGAAAAUCAGAGUGCUCAAAGCAGGCAUUUGCCGUGAAUGUAUUAGCUUGGAAUAAUAGAAUAGGACUUGGUUCUAUUUUGUUGGUUUGUUGGGACUGAGUAAUGAUUAAGAGGGACAGUUGGGGGCAUUUGUAUUUCGGUGCUAGAGGUGAAAUUCUUAGAUUACCGAAAGACAAACUGCUGCGAAAGCGUCUGCCAAGGAUGUUUUCAUUGA
rnacentral:rRNA from 1 species